UACAGAGGGGGCAAGCGUUGUUCGGAAUUACUGGGCGUAAAGGGCGCGUAGGCGGCAUGCCAAGCGUGUGGUGAAAGCCCGGGGCUCAACCCCGGGUCGGCCGUGCGGACUGGCGUGCUCGAGCACUGUAGGGGCGGGUGGAAUUCCGGGUGUAGCGGUGGAAUGCGUAGAGAUCAGGAGGAACACCGGUGGCGAAGGCGGUUCUCUGGGCAUGUUCUGACGCUGAGGAGCGAAAGUGUGGGGAGCGAACAGG
rnacentral:rRNA from 1 species